AUGCCGCUCCUCCUCCCCCUCCUCAUGCUGCUCGCCGCCGGCGCGGCGGGGGCAGAGUCGGCGACCCCCUCGCUGCACAUCGGCGUCAACUACGGCGCCAACGCCGACAACCUCCCCUCCCCGACCUCCGUCGCCACCUUCCUCGCCACCAAGACCACCAUCGACCGCGUCAAGCUCUUCGACGCCAACCCGGCCUUUAUCUCCGCCUUCGCCGGCACGCCCAUCUCCCUCGCCGUCUCCCUCCCCAACUCCGCCCUCCCCGCCCUCGCCGACAAGGCCACCGGCCUCGACGCCGCGCGGUCCUGGAUCCGCGCCAACCUCUCCCCCUACGUCCCCGCCACCAACGUCACCCUCCUCCUCGCCGGCAACGAGAUCCUCCUCUCCACCGACACCAACCUCAUCCUCUCCCUCCUCCCCGCCAUGCGCCGCCUCGCGCAGGCCCUCAAGGCCGAGGGCCUCACCGGCGUCCGCGUCACCACCCCGCAUUACCUCGGCAUCCUCGCCCCCUCCGACGGCAUCCCCUCCAACGCCAGCUUCCGGGCGGGCUACAACACCAAGCUAUUCCCGGCCAUGCUGCAGUUCCACCGCGACACCGGGUCGCCCUUCAUGGUGAACCCUUACCCCUACUUCAGCUACCGGCCGGAGACGCUCAACUACGCGCUCUUCCGCCCCAACAGCGGCAUCUACGACCCGGCAACGAAGCUCAACUACACCAGCAUGCUGGACGCCCAGAUGGACGCAAUCUACACCGCCAUGAAGAAGCUCGGGUACGGAGACGUCGACAUCGCCGUCGGGGAGGCCGGGUGGCCCACCCAGGCGGAGCCCGGGCAGAUUGGCGUCGGGGUGCAGGAGGCGAGGGACUUCAACGAGGGCAUGAUUCGGGUGUGCAGCAGCGGCAAGGGCACGCCGCUGAUGCCCAACAGGACAUUCGAGACCUACCUCUUCUCCCUCUUCGACGAGAACCAGAAACCAGGGCCAAUCGCCGAAAGGCACUUUGGCCUCUUCAACCCGGACUUCACGCCCGUCUACGACCUCGGACUUCUCCGGGACGGCGCGUCUGUGGCUCCAACCCCUUCGCCAAAUCCAUCGCCCAAUCCGAGCCCCAAGCCCUCGCCGUCGGGAGGCGGGAAGUGGUGCGUCGCCAAGGACGGCGCCAACGGGACGGACCUGCAGAACAACAUCAACUAUGCCUGCGGCUUCGUAGACUGCAAGCCCAUACAGAGCGGCGGCGCGUGCUUCAGCCCCAACAGCUUGCAGUCUCAUGCCUCGUACGUGAUGAACGCCUACUACCAGGCCAACGGCCACACCGACUUGGCGUGCGACUUCAAGGGCACCGGCGUCGUCACCUCCAGCGACCCCAGUUACGGGGGUUGCAAGUACGUCUCCUGA
rnacentral:rRNA from 1 species